AUAAGCAAACAUACACAGUCUUCCAUUUCCCCAAUCCCCUUUCCUCCAAACCCUCCGCAGCUCCAACCCUUAUCCCUCUUCUCAUCUCUCUCCAAACUCUCUCUCCAAUUUCCAUCAUAAAUUCAACAACCCCAUCAAUUAAUUCUAAGUUGGAGAGAGGAAGAGAGAGAGAAGGGGUAAAACUCUAAAGGGUUUUCGAAUUUUGCAGCAAAAACAUGGAUUCAGAUCAAGGAAAGCUGUUUGUAGGUGGGAUUUCAUGGGAAACAUCCGAAGAAAAGCUCAAAGAAUAUUUUGGGCAAUAUGGUGAUGUUUUUCAGGCUAAUAUUAUGAGAGAUAAAGCUACUGGUAGACCUAGAGGUUUUGGGUUUGUUCUCUUUUCAGAUCCUUCUGUUAUUGAUCGUGUUCUUCAGGAGAAACACACCAUUGAUGGCCGACCUGUUGAGGCAAAGCUGGCAAUGUCGAGAGAAGAGCAGCAGAACUCAGGAAGAGGUGGAAACAGCAAUGGUGGUAGGAGCGGAGGUGGAGGGGGAAACUUCAGGACUAAGAAGAUUUUUGUUGGGGGGUUGCCUCCUACAGUAACUGAUGAGAGCUUUCGGGAGUAUUUUGAGAACUUUGGUAGUGUUACUGAUGUAGUUAUAAUGUAUGAUCAGAAUACACGGAGACCUAGAGGUUUUGGAUUCAUUUCUUUUGACAGUGAGGAUGCAGUAGAUAGAGUUUUACAGACCACCUUUCAUGAUUUGAGUGGUAAACAAGUUGAGGUGAAGCGUGCUUUACCCAAGGAUGCGAACCCUGGUAUGGGUAGUCGUGGCAGUGGUGGUGGUGGUUAUAAUUCUGGUGGUGGUCAGAAUGCUUAUGACGGUAGAAUGGAAUCUAAUAGAUAUAUGCAGCCUCAGACUGCUGGAGGUGGAUUUCCAUCUUAUGGUUCGUCUGGAUAUGGUGCAGCUGGUUAUGGAUACGGGCCUGCCAGUGGUGGUAUGGGCUAUGGUGGGUAUGGCGGAUAUGGGGGUGCUAAUCCUGGAUAUGGUGGUCCUGCAAGUGCUGCUUAUGGAAACCCUAACCUUUCGAGUGCCCAAAGGAGUUCUUGGAAUGCACAGGCUGCCUCUGGUUAUGGUGCAGCUGGGUAUGGAAGUGCCGGUCCUUGGGCUGCUGCUGGUGCAGGAAGCGGUGGACCUACUGGUCAAUCUCCUAGUGGUGCCUCUGGUGGGUAUGGAUAUGGUAAUUAUGGUGGUGGAGAUGGAUAUGGUAGUGUAGGAAAUCGUGCAGGAGGUGCCCCUGGUAGCAAUGCCUCUGCCGGUGGUGGAGAGAUGCAAGGGGGUUAUGGUGAUUCAAAUGGUCAUGGAGGAUACGGGGCUGGAGGUUAUGGAUCUCAGUCAAAUGGACCUCAAAUGGGUUAUGGUGGCGGAUAUGGUGGGGCUCGAUAAGUGCAGUAACUGUGAUCUACUGAUCUGCUCCGAGCUGAGUCAUCGAUGACCACAGAAGCUCGUCCUUCCAAGUGGCUAAGGGGAUUGCUUGUUUGGAUUUCAAGCAUGCUGUUGGACUGGAGAGCUGCUCGAGUUUUGAAGUGAGGGGGGCUAUGCUAUACACAGCUAAAUGCAACUUUGCGAUGGGACCAUUAACACAUCCAAUCGGUUUUCUGAUGAGAGAUUGCAUUGUGUGGGACUGAUCAACCCAAGCACCUUCUCUUCGGUUCUAAUCUUCUAUCAAGUUGUUUAAGAGCUGAUGGGAACUUGUAACUUGGUCUCUAUCCGGGUAUGUCGAGUUCAAUUAAGGAUAUUUUCUUCCCUGGUUAGGAAAUUUAGACAAAAUAAGUUUAGAUUGUCAUAAUGGAAUAGAAAGACUAAUGUUCUAGACAAGUAUGGUUUAUCAUUUAUGGCUGAUUGUGGCAGUCGAAGUAGCCUACAACUUUUUCUAACCGAAGUAGUGUUUUCAUAGUAGUUCCAUUCCAUAGAGGUUACUUCUUCUUAGUCUCCUGACUCCUGAGGAUGAUUAGUGAUUUAAGCUCACUGUAUUUCCACGGUGUUUCGAACGGAGUAUCAUAUAUGAUAUAUAUAUCACUGAGAUUACAUUA